GCUGCACUUACCUUCCACCUUUGAUUGAUGUUAACGCCAGCCUCCACCAAGGUCACGGCCAUCUCCAGGUUGUUCUUGACCACGGCUAUGUGGAGGGGAGGGGCAACAUCCUGGAAGCAGGCAACAGACCACACUGGCCAGGGCUGCAUCGAUCUUUCCAUACUGGGAGGCAGCACAGAGGGGUGUGGCUCCGUCCUGGAACAGGGAUGCAAAAUACUGUCACCUUCUGCAGAGGUUACUAUGCAGAGAGUUACAGUGCAGGCCUACAUUUUUUAAAGACUCACACAAAGUUGACAUCUGCACCGCCAUCAUUGAUCAGCACAUUGAUGACCUUGACAUUGCCACACUGGGCAGCAAUGUACAGAGGGGUGGACCCUGUGUCCUAGGGGUUCAAGCCAAGCAGAUAUAAGAAUCAAAAGUGUUGAAUCAUUUUGCUUUUUUUAAAUAUUUAUUUCACUUUGAACUUGUAACAGUUGAACACUCAAAAGUUAUGAUGUACCAUUCAUGGAAAACCACAUGAUGCUACCUUGUGAAUAUACCA